rnacentral:rRNA from 1 species
GGAUGAACGCUAGCGAUAGGCUUAACACAUGCAAGUCGAGGGGUAACGUGUUGGAAGCUUGCUUCCGAUGACGACGACCGGCGGAUGGGUGCGUAACGCGUAUGCAACUUGCCUCACAGUGGAGAAUAACCCGGAGAAAUCCGGACUAAUACUCCAUACACUCUUAAGUACGCCUGUACAUGAGAGGAAAGAUUUAUCGCUGUGAGAUAGGCAUGCGUCCUAUUAGGUAGUUGGUGAGGUAACGGCUCACCAAGCCGACGAUAGGUAGGGGUGCUGAGAGGCAGAUCCCCCACAUUGGGACUGAGACACGGCCCAAACUCCUACGGGAGGCAGCAGUGAGGAAUAUUGGUCAAUGGAGGAAACUCUGAACCAGCCAAGUCGCGUGAAGGAAGAAUGUCCUAAGGAUUGUAAACUUCUUUAGCGAGCGAGUAAGGACUUCCACGUGAUGGGAGUUUGAAAGUAGCUCGAGAAUAAGUAUCGGCUAACUCCGUG